rnacentral:rRNA from 1 species
UACGUAGGGUGCAAGCGUUGUCCGGAAUUAUUGGGCGUAAAGAGCUCGUAGGCGGUCUGUCGCGUCGGCUGUGAAAUCCCGAGGCUCAACCUCGGGUCUGCAGUCGAUACGGGCAAACUGGAGUACUGCAGGGGAGACUGGAAUUCCUGGUGUAGCGGUGAAAUGCGCAGAUAUCAGGAGGAACACCGGUGGCGAAGGCGGGUCUCUGUGCAGUAACUGACGCUGAGGAGCGAAAGCGUGGGGAGCGAACAGG